CUAGGGCAGAAGACCAAAACAAGGGACUCUGCUCUCUCACUGGGUAAUUUUUUGUACUGCUGCCAGGCAAACUGGAAAUGUUCUGAAUGUCCAAUAGCAAUGCUCUUACUGUGAAAUACUAGAACCCAGCUCAGUAGUUAAUGCUAACGGGUCAGCAAUGAAUUGGUCUCAAUGUGCUAUAGGGGCAACUUCUUGGCCAGGGAGAAAGGCUUCAGCUGAUUGCAGAAAACCAAAGGUUAAUACAACUACGUACUCUGAUUUCUCUUCAUAUAAUAGCUUUACUAGCUAAUGUUAAAAGGACUUACCGGCUGGUAGCUCCGUUGCCUCCCGCCUGCCCGCGCUCGGUCCUACAAUCUGUCUCCAGCUCCUCCUUUCCCCCCUCGGCGGAACGGAUACUUUCCUCCCGUCCGGCCAGGCGCGCUCAACUCUCGCGAGAAGUCGUGGGGCCGCGGGGGAAGGGCGAGAUCCGUCGGGGCUGAGUUGGA
rnacentral:lncRNA from 1 species